rnacentral:rRNA from 1 species
UGAGUAAUGUCUGGGAAACUGCCUGAUGGAGGGGGAUAACUACUGGAAACGGUAGCUAAUACCGCAUAACGUCACAAGACCAAAGAGGGGGACCUUCGGGCCUCUUGCCAUCAGAUGUGCCCAGAUGGGAUUAGCUAGUAGGUGGGGGUAAUGGCUCACCUAGGCGACGAUCCCUAGCUGGUCUGAGAGGAUGACCAGCCACACUGGCACUGAGACACGGUCCAGACUCCUACGGGAGGCAGCAGUGGGGAAUAUUGCACAAUGGGCGCAAGCCUGAUGCAGCCAUGCCGCGUGUGUGAAGAAGGCCUUCGGGUUGUAAAGCACUUUCAGCGAGGAGGAAGGUGGUGAGCUUAAUACGCUCAUCAAUUGACGUUACUCGCAGAAGAAGCACCGGCUAACUCCGUGCCAGCAGCCGCGGUAAUACGGAGGGUGCAAGCGUUAAUCGGAAUUACUGGGCGUAAAGCGCACGCAGGCGGUUUGUUAAGUCAGAUGUGAAAUCCCCGGG